GACCUAAAACCAUUUUGCCAGCGUCGGCAAAAUGGUCAUGGUCAAAAUCGCACCAAAGUAAAGAUCCCAUCAUCAGGAUCCGCUUUGGUGCGUCAUAUUGGGAAACCAAUAUGUGAGUUUGAAAAGACUC
rnacentral:sRNA from 1 species